CCUCCGGGUGGCAGCAGUGGGGAAUAUUGCACAAUGGGCGCAAGCCUGAUGCAGCCAUGCCGCGUGUAUGAAGAAGGCCUUCGGGUUGUAAAGUACUUUCAGUCGUGAGGAAGGUGUUAAGGUUAAUAACCUUAGCAAUUGACGUUAGCGACAGAAGAAGCACCGGCUAACUCCGUGCCAGCAGCCGCGGUAAUACGGAGGGUGCGAGCGUUAAUCGGAAUUACUGGGCGUAAAGGGCACGCAGGCGGUUAAUUAAUUGGUAGGUGACAUCCGCGGGCUUAACCUGGGAAGGGCAUGCCAGACUGGUUAGCUAGAGUCUUGUAGAGUGGGGUAGAAUCCCAUGUGUGGCGGUGAAAUGCGGAGAGAUGUGGAGGAAUCCCGGUGGCGAGGGCGGCCACCUGGACAAAGAAGGCCGCUCAUGGGCGAAAGCGUGGGGAGCAAACAGGAUUAGAUACCCGGUAGUC
rnacentral:rRNA from 1 species